rnacentral:tRNA from 7 species
GGGCCUUUAGCUCAGUUGGUUAGAGCAGUCGACUCAUAAUCGAUUGGUCGCUGGUUCAAGUCCAGCAAGGCCCACCA